rnacentral:rRNA from 1 species
GACGAACGCUGGCGGCGUGCUUAACACAUGCAAGUCGAACGGAAAGGCCCUGCUUUUGUGGGGUGCUCGAGUGGCGAACGGGUGAGUAACACGUGAGUAACCUGCCCUUGACUUUGGGAUAACUUCAGGAAACUGGGGCUAAUACCGGAUAGGAGCUCCUGCCGCAUGGUGGGGGUUGGAAAGUUUCGGCGGUUGGGGAUGGACUCGCGGCUUAUCAGCUUGUUGGUGGGGCAGUGGCUUACAAAGGCUUUGACGGGUAGCCGGCCUGAGAGGGUGACCGGCCACAUUGGGACUGAGAUACGGCCCAGACUCCUACGGGAGGCAGCAGUGGGGAAUAUUGCACAAUGGGCGGAAGACUGAUGCAGCAACGCCGCGUGCGGGAUGACGGCCUUCGGGUUGUAAACCGCUUUCGCCUGUGACGAAGCGUGAGUGACGGUAAUGGGUAAAGAAGCACCGGCUAACUACGUG